ensembl:lncRNA
GGUGAUUAUUUACCUGGAUUAGUUAGUUGUAUUAGUUUAGUUGGAUUGGUCUAGCUGGAUUAGUUUAGCUGGAUUAUUUACAUGGAUUAGUUUAGUUGGAUUAUUUACUUGGAUUAGUUUAGCUGGAUUAUUUACCUGGAUUAGUUUAGUUGGAUUAGUUUAGUUGGAUUGGUCUAGCUGGAUUGAGAUAUCUCAGAUAAAUACGUUUCGUCUGUGAUCCAUGAAUCAGAAACAUGAUCAGUCAUUUAAUUCAGUAAAUGAGUAAAUUCCUGAAGGUUUGUGGUUGUAUAUCUGGUCUUCAUGUGUCAGAGGUUCAAGGUGCAGUGUUAAUGUCGUGGAAUCGGCGUGUGGUCAUGAAAGAAACGCUAAAAAGGAGAAGAGAGAAGACGAGGCGUGUGGAGCAGCUGCCAUGUGGAAAAAUAAAAAAAAAAAACAGAAGAAAAUCCAACAGUCAGUGGGAGUGAGUUUCAAAUUCAAGAGGAAUUCCUGUGUGUGUGUGUGAGUGUGUGUGUGUGUGUGUGUGUGUGGAAGAUGGCUCAACAAAAACAUGGCAGCUGUGCUUCAUGACAAACUGAGCACCUAAAGAAAGAGGAAAAUCCAGCAAACGGAAAGGAAUGUGCACGCUCCAUCAUGAUUCCGACAGAGACAGAGCGAGAGAGAGAGAGAGAGUGUGUGUUAGUGACAGAUAGAGAGACACAGACAGACAGAAAGCUAGAUAGAGACAGACAAACUGAGAGACACAGACAGACAUAGAGAAAGAGAGAGAGACAGACAGAUAGAGAGACAGACGGAGAGACAGAGAGACACAAGAGUGAGACAGAUGGAGAGACACAGACAGAGAGCGAGACAGUCCCCUCAAGAAAGUCUGCUAACACUUUUACACCAAACACUCGGUAAAUGAAACUUGUAUGAUGCUAUGUGGGCGGAGCUAUAAACAGUUCAGCUCACUGAUUGGUCCAACAUAACGCUGACAGAAACCAGACCAUCUCACUAACUUUAUCUCUCUUUUAUAGUCAGUGUUUUUCUGCAGGAUGUGAGGGGACACGUGACGUUUAUGAAGUGGCGUGUGGCGGUUACAGUCGGCUCGGUUACUUUACUCUUCUUACUCUAAUUACGUCAAAUAAGUCAGUUAGUGAACUCUGUGUGUGUCGCAGCGCCAUGAUCAAACUCGAAAAAUCUCUAACUCUGUCUCUUCCCUGUUUUCAUCGUCUGUUAAACUUCAGUAACAAUAGAGAUGGAGAGAGAGAGAUAGAGAGAGAGAGGGAGAGGGUGAGAGAGAGAUAGAGAGAGAGAUGGAGAGAGUGAGAGAGAGAGUGAGAGAGAGAGAGAGAGAUGGAGAGAGAGAGAGGGAGAGAGAGAGAGGGAGAGAGAGAUGGAGAGAGAGAGAGAGAUAGAGAGAGAGAUGGAGAGAGUGAGAGAGAGAAGGAGAGAGAGAGAUGGAGAGAGAGAGAGAUGGAGAGAGAGAGAGAUGGAGAGAGAGAUGGAGAGAGUGAGAGAGAGAGUGAGAGAGAGAGAGAGAGAUGGAGAGAGAGAGAGGGAGAGAGAGAGGGAGAGAGAGAGAUGGAGAGAGAGAUGGAGAGAGAGAGAUGGAGAGAGAGAUGGAGAGAGAGAGAUGGAGAGAGAUGGAGAGAGAGAGAGAGGGAGAGAGAGAGAGGGAGAGAGAGAGAUGGAGAGAGAGAUGGAGAGAGAGAUGGAGAGAGAGAGAGAUGGAGAGAGAGAGAGGGAGAGAGAGAGAUGGAGAGAGAGAGAGAUGGAGAGAGAGAGAGGGAGAGAGAGAGAGGGAGAGAGAGACAGCUAGAGAGAGUGAGAGAGAGAGAGAGAUGGAGAGAGAGAGGGAGAGAGAGAGAUGGAGAGAGAGAGAGGGAGAGAGAGGGAGAGAGAGAGAGAGAGACUGGACAUGGUGGAGAGGUGAAACGAGGUCAGUAGAUCACACAGGUGUGUGUUUAUGGUUAAAACUCCACACCGCACCUUUAAUUAUCACGCAUGAGCUUACCUGCUGUUUAUUUCAUUAUUUGGAACUUUUUCUUUCGAUAUUAAUGAAGAAUAUAAACUGUGGUGUAAAAACUUAUUUUUAGUUUGUGUUGAUAAAAGUGCAAAUAAUGAUUUCAGAUUUUAGUGAAGC